rnacentral:lncRNA from 1 species
UCCAUAUGCUGCAGGUUUGGCCAUAAAAAAAGGUAGCUAAUGGCAUGUAAGUGGAUGUUCUGUGUUGAGCUUUUGGAAGAUUCUUUGCAGGAAACUUCCCCAGCAGAGGAGGAGCCACUGGACCCUCCACUUUCCUCACCCUUCCUGUCUGGAACAUACCAGGAUCAGAAUUUUUGGUCGGGAAGUAACAUCUGAAUCUGUACCUGCUGACGUCGGAACGAUGUUCUCCGUGCCCCCGAGCUGGUAAUGAGCCCUUUUGCCCUCCAAUUUUAGUAUGGCCCCAGAUAGUCAGACACAAUAAAAGCCAAAACAGGAGUUCCCAUUGUGGCUCAGGACCGAACCCGCAACCUCAUGGUUCCUAGUCGGAUUCGUUAACCACUGCACCACGACGGGAACUCCAUAAAGAUAUGCACUAGGAUCUUCUUUAUUUUUUAUUUUUAUUUUUUUGUCUUUUUGUUAUUUCUUGGGCCGCUCCCGUGGCAUGUGGAGAUUCCCAGGCUAGGGGUCUAAUCGGAGCUGUAGCCACUGGCCUACACCAGAGCCACAGCAGCUCGGGAUCCGAGCCACGUCUGCAACCUACUCACGGCAACACCGGAUCCUUAACCCACUGAGCAAGGCCAGGAACCGAACCCGCAACCUCAUGGUUCCUAGUCGGAUUCGUUAACCACUGCGCCACGACGGGGAACUCCCCCUGACUGUUUAUCAGCGGAUUAGAAAGUCAUUUUGAUUAGAUCUGUGUCCAGGGUUUACAAUCUCUACCCAGCCCCGGGGUGUAUCUGUGCUUCUCCUUCCUGCAUAACUGUAUUUUCCCUGGAGUUAGGGAUCAUCUUGUUUUGUAUCUGUUUAAAACUUUUUUUCCUUUUUUUUUCUUUUUUCACAGUCACACCCACAGCAUAUGGAAGUUCCCAGGCUAGGAACUAGAGCUACAGCUGCCAGCCUACACCAAAGCUCAUGGCACCAUCAGAUCGUUAACCCACGAAGCGAGGCCAGGGAUCGAACCCGUGUCCUCAUGGAUACUGGUCGGGUUCAUUACUGCUGAGCCACAGCGGGAACUCCAGCAGCCUUUCACUUUCUUGGAGACUUUGUCCCUAACUGGCCUUUUCGCCCACUCUCUCUCUUUCCUGCCCACGGACUAAAGCCCGCAGGUAGCUGUUCACGUACCACCUGCCCCUCUCAGCCUCUCAGGAGCAUCUGGUGCCAUGGAUUCCCCAGCUGCUCAGUGGUUUGGGUUCAAUGAGUUUCUUAUAUACUUUCCCACCUCCAGCCUAGGAUUCACCUUCUGGGAUCUACUAAGAAAUUACCACAUGGCCAGUACCUCAGUUUAUCUUCUCUCUCCUUUUCUUGGUCCCUCAGGGUUUACACCUUUAAAAAAAAAAAUUGGAGUUCCCGUUGUGGCGCAGUGGAAACGAAUCUGACUAGGAACCAUGAUGUUGCAGGUUCAAUCCCUGGCCUCACUCAGUGGGUUAAGGAUCCGGCAUUGCCGUGAGGUGUGUAGCUUGCAGACACGGCUUGGAUCUGGCAUUCCUAUGGCUGGCGGCUACUACUCCGAUUCGAACCCUAGCCUGGGAACCUCCAUAUGCUGCGGGUGCGGCCCUAAAAAGACAGAAACAAAACAAAAAAUCUUUUGAAACAUAGUGGUUAAGGGCCAGAAGUCUGGGACCCUUUUUUGGCUCUGCAUUUCCUGACUACGUGAUCUGAAGACAGUUGCCUUUCUCUUUAUGUCAAUCAAACAGGGCAAAGCUAAUCCCUACCUCACAGAUUAGAUUAGAUGAGAUUGGCAGGAACUAAAGUGUGGAUGUUGAUUAAUUUCCUUGAGCCCUGUGACACACCACAGGACAUAGCUGUUUGCACGGGAGUGGCUGCUCUUAGUGGCUUUUAGGAAGGGAGUGACUUCACAGGACAUUACACUCUGUCACUACUUACCCCAUUACUCCCCUCCUAGCAGCGUAAAAUUACUAUUUUAGUUUGUUCAAGGAUCCUGUGGAUUAGGAAUUCAGAUAGGGCAUAGUGAGGGUGGCUUGUUUCUGCUGCUCAUUGUCUGGAGCCUUAGCCUAGAAGACUCAGUGGGGGGGUGGGGGGUCAGGACGGGGGUGAAAGCCUGGGACUGGAUCACCUGCAAGGAGUUGCUAGAGUGGUUCAGUGGGUUAAAAACCUGACUAGUAUCCACGAGGAUGCGGGUUCGAUCCCUGGCCUCACUCAGUAGAUUAAGAUCUGGCGUUGCCCCAAGCUGCAGUGUAGCUCACAGAUGCAGCUCUAAUCCUGUGCUGCUGUGGGUGUGGUGUAGGCCAGCAGCUGCAGCUCCAUUUUGACACUCAGCCUGGGAACUUCCAUAUGCUGUGUGUUUGGCCCUAAAAAGAAAAAAACUCCCUCUGCCAGUCGGAGUUCUCUCCUGGCACUGUGGGUUAAGGGUCUGGCAUUGUCACUGCAGCGGCUCAGGUUAUUACUUUGGCUCAGGUUCGAUCCCUGGCCCAGGAACCUCCA